UGGUACAGUGAACAUGGCUUCAUGAUGUGGUGGUGUUAUGCAGCUCAUAGGUAGUCGGUGUUCUUAAAGACAGUUGUGUCAUGCCGUGCGGGCCUCGCAGUGCUGUGCCGCUGCAGCCUGCUUAACAUAACGUCACAUCUCCGGCAUCUACUCCGUACAGUCACUGCUGACAUGGAUAACAUUGCCCGCUGUACACACCCACUGAAGACAGGGCAAAUAUAUUGUAUUACGGUGCACCGCCUUGCUGCCGAAUUUGGGGUAUGCUUUCGCUCAUGAGCAUCCAAAACUCGGAACGCUGUGACAGUCGAUGGCGAAGUGCUAGGUGCGGAAACCACGAGUGACGUGUUCGAAGCGUCACAAAGCGAAGUGUGCCACAGUACGUGACUAUGGACAAAUUGACAGUGAUCUCGGGCACGUUGUUUUUCCUUGCCAACAUCUUUGCCAUCUUGAGUCUUGUGCUUCCCGACUGGAUCGUCUCCGACGUUGGUGGUGACACACGACUUGGGCUACUACAGACAUGCACCACGCUGCAGGGUCGGCCACCAACCUGCUUCCCUCCACGCCUGCAGCCGGAGUGGCUGCUGGCUCUUGUUUGCAUUGUACUGGGCUGUGUGUGCAUCACAGCUACCACAGUGCUACUUGGAUUGUCACGCUGGAAUGGCCGUGUUGUUCCAUAUGCACGAUGGAUGGGUUUCUCUGCUAUGCUUCUGUUCUGCCUGGCCGCUGUAAUCUUCCCGGUGGGCUUCAGCAUGGAUGAAAUCGGGGGAGAACCAUACCAGCUGCCCAGCAGCCACCAAGUGGGCCUCUCAUAUAUAUUCUUUGUGCUUGCACUCUGGAUCACAGUCAUCUCUGAGCUCUUUGCUGGCAAGGUCUGCAUGCCCCAUUUCUGAGCAGGCAAGCUCUGGUUUGACCUCAAUCCAAUGACAUAUAAAGGAGGCCAAGUGUAGGACCAGUAUGGUAAUCCUAAGGGACUUCAGAUUGCAUCAGCCACAGCGGCCAGUCGACGCGCUAGGAGAGCCGUGGGACGCCGUUUCCUGCAGCGAAGCUGUCGAGUGAAUUAUCCGAAGCUAUCGGCCCAGCGUCUCGUCGUUAUAGAGCGAGGCAGCGCGGGGCAGAGCGGGGCAGACAACGGGUCACGCGCGCGUUAUGAUCGAUCCCUGAAAACGAUCAACUCCCAGUGCGGCACCACUGCUCCGACGUGACUGCUGAACUCUGGUGGGAUGGGAAUGCAAAUACUGCCGCCUUUCCAAUGAAAAAAAAUAUGAGAAAAAUAAAGGUCCCUGUUGUGCCUA
rnacentral:misc_RNA from 1 species